rnacentral:rRNA from 1 species
CCUACGGGUGGGCAGCAGUGGGGGAUAUUGCACAAUGAGGGAAACCCUGAUGCAGCGACGCCGCGUGGGUGAAGAAGCGCCUCGGCGCGUAAAGCCCUGUUAGCAGGGAAGAAAAUGACGGUACCUGACUAAGAUGCCCCGGCUAACUACGUGCCAGCAGCCGCGGUAAUACGGAGGGGCCGAGCGUUAGCCGGAUUCACUGGGUGUAAAGGGAGCGUAGACGGCCAUGCAAGCCAGGGGUGAAAGCUCGGGGCCCAACCCCGGGACUGCCCUUGGAACUGCAUGGCUGGAGUGCAGGAGGGGCAGGCGGAAUUCCUGGUGUAGCGGUGAAAUGCGUAGAUAUUAGGAAGAACACCAGUGGCGAAGGCGGCUUACUGGACAGUAACUGACGUUGAGGCUCGAAAGCGUGGGUAGCAAACAGGAUUAGAUACCCUGGUAGUC